rnacentral:rRNA from 1 species
UACGGAGGGGACUAGCGUUGUUCGGAAUUACUGGGCGUAAAGCGCACGUAGGCGGAUUUGUAAGUCAGGGGUGAAAUCCCGGGGCUCAACCUCGGAACUGCCUUUGAUACUGCAAAUCUCGAGUCCGGAAGAGGUGAGUGGAAUUCCUAGUGUAGAGGUGAAAUUCGUAGAUAUUAGGAAGAACACCAGUGGCGAAGGUGGCUCACUGGUCCGGUACUGACGCUGAGGUGCGAAAGCGUGGGGAGCAAACAGG